rnacentral:rRNA from 1 species
CGUGUAGGCGGUUUGGUAAGUCAGAUGUGAAAGCCCUGGGCUCAACCCAGGAAGUGCAUUUGAAACUACCAUACUAGAGUAUGGGAGAGGAGAGUGGAAUUCCCAGUGUAGAGGUGAAAUUCGUAGAUAUUGGGAGGAACACCGGUGGCGAAGGCGACUCUCUGGACCAAUACUGACGCUGAGACGCGAAAGCGUGGGGAGCAAACA